rnacentral:rRNA from 1 species
UAAUACGAAGGGGGCUAGCAUUGCUCGGAAUUAUUGGGCGUAAAGCGUGCGUAGGCUGUUUAGUAAGUCAAGAGUGAAAUCCUUGGGCUCAACCCAAGAACUGCUCCUGAUACUGCUAGACUUGAGGACUGUAGGGGAUAGCGGAAUUCCUAGUGUAGGGGUGAAAUUCGUAGAUAUUAGGAGGAACACCAGAGGCGAAAGCGGUUAUCUGGGCAGUCACUGACGCUGUUGCACGAAAGCGUGGGGAGCAAACAGG